CUCCUCUUCAUCUUCUGCCCCACUUCACUGUGGAGUCCCCCAGGGAUCUAUCCUGGGUCCCAUUCUUUUUGCGAUAUAUCUCCUCCCACUUGGAGAGAUUUUUAAGAAACAUGGCAUGUCUUACCAUUUCUACGCAGAUGACUGUCAAAUUUACAUGCCCAUUGCAAAGAAUGACCACAGCCCCCUGUCACCCAUGCUCCACUGUCUGGGUGACGUCAAGGCUUGGUUAGCCCAGAAUUUUUUAAAACUGAAUGAGGGAAAAACAGAAAUAAUGGCAUUUGGAUGUACCCUCGCAGACUUGGGAUCACUCCAAAAGUAUUUGCAUCCCAAAGUCACCAGCCUUGGCGUCACCAUAGACAGUGAUUUUAAAUUUGAUAAACAGAUCAAUGGCGUUUUAAAAUCGGGUUUUUAUCAUCUUCGUCUUUUAGCCAAAGUUAAGCCUUUUUUAUCAUUUAAUCUUUUUGAACAAGUCGUGCAUGCUUUUAUUUCAAGCCGUCUGGACUACUGCAACGCACUUUACUCGGGCAUCAGCCAAAAGGCACUUUACCGCUUGCAGUUAGUCCAGAACGCAGCGGCACGACUUUUAACAGGGACCAAAAAGCGUGAACACAUCACCCCAAUCCUUGCUUCUUUGCAUUGGCUCCCUGUUAAAUUUAGAAUUGAUUUUAAAAUUUUAUUGUUUGUUUUUAAAGCUUGGAAUGGACUGGCCCCUCAGUAUAUCACAGACCUCAUCCAAAUUUACCGACCCCCGCGCGCUUUGAGGUCUGAGGGCCAGCUCCAGCUCGUGGUUCCGAAGGCGAACCGUAAAACUAAAGGGGACAGAGCGUUUUCCGUUGUCAGUCCUAAGCUGUGGAACGCUCUGCCCCUCCACAUCCGUACGGCCCCCACCGUGGAGUGUUUUAAAUCUCGUCUCAAAACUCACUUUUAUUCUCUGGCUUUUAGCACCGCGUAAGUUGUGUGGUCCUCUGUGUCUUUUAUUUUAUGUUUUUGAGUUUUAUUCUUAUUUAUAGUUUUUAAUGUGUUUUUAUUUAUAUUUAUUCUUUUAAACUGUUUUAUUUUUAUUUAUUGUUUUAUACUCAUUUAGUGGCAGAGCUCAUUUGUAUUGUUUUGGUUUUAUUGUUGUG
rnacentral:lncRNA from 1 species